GGGACGUUAGUAAACUAAUUACAUAGCCUUGUCAAGACUAAAUCACGAGUGAGAACCUCGUACAUCCCA
rnacentral:tRNA from 1 species